GCGGGUGUCGUAUAACGGCCAUUACACGUCCUUGCCAAGGAUGAGAAGAGGGUUCGAUUCCCUUCACCCGCU
rnacentral:tRNA from 1 species